rnacentral:rRNA from 1 species
CGGAGCUUGCUCCACCGGAAAAAGAGGAGUGGCGAACGGGUGAGUAACACGUGGGUAACCUGCCCAUCAGAAGGGGAUAACACUUGGAAACAGGUGCUAAUACCGUAUAACAAUCAAAACCGCAUGGUUUUGAUUUGAAAGGCGCUUUCGGGUGUCGCUGAUGGAUGGACCCGCGGUGCAUUAGCUAGUUGGUGAGGUAACGGCUCACCAAGGCCACGAUGCAUAGCCGACCUGAGAGGGUGAUCGGCCACAUUGGGACUGAGACACGGCCCAAACUCCUACGGGAGGCAGCAGUAGGGAAUCUUCGGCAAUGGACGAAAGUCUGACCGAGCAACGCCGCGUGAGUGAAGAAGGUUUUCGGAUCGUAAAACUCUGUUGUUAGAGAAGAACAAGGAUGAGAGUAACUGUUCAUCCCUUGACGGUAUCUAACCAGAAAGCCACGGCUAACUACGUGCCAGCAGCCGCGGUAAUACGUAGGUGGCAAGCGUUGUCCGGAUUUAUUGGGCGUAAAGCGAGCGCAGGCGGUUUCUUAAGUCUGAUGUGAAAGCCCCCGGCUCAACCGGGGAGGGUCAUUGGAAACUGGGAGACUUGAGUGCAGAAGAGGAGAGUGGAAUUCCAUGUGUAGCGGUGAAAUGCGUAGAUAUAUGGAGGAACACCAGUGGCGAAGGCGGCUCUCUGGUCUGUAACUGACGCUGAGGCUCGAAAGCGUGGGGAGCAAACAGGAUUAGAUACCCUGGUAGUCCACGCCGUAAACGAUGAGUGCUAAGUGUUGGAGGGUUUCCGCCCUUCAGUGCUGCAGCUAACGCAUUAAGCACUCCGCCUGGGGAGUACGACCGCA